rnacentral:rRNA from 1 species
GAGUUUGAUCCUGGCUCAGGAUGAACGCUGGCGGUACGCCUAACACAUGCAAGUCGUACGAAAGUUUUAACUUUAGUGGCGAACGGGUGAGUAGUACGUGAGAAUCUACCCCUUGAGUCGAGGAUAACGUCUGGAAACGGUCGCUAAUACUCGAUAGGUGAAGAGAGACAUUAUGAAACGUUCUUCAUGAAAAACGAAGCUUUUCGUUGCCAAGGGAUGAGCUCGCGCUUGAUUAGCUAGUUGGUGAGGUAAUUGCUCACCAAGGCCACGAUCAAUAGCUGGUUUGAGAGAAUGGCCAGCCACAUUGGGACUGAGACACGGCCCAGACUCCUACGGGAGGCAGCAGUGAGGAAUUUUCCGCAAUGGGCGAAAGCCUGACGGAGCGAUACCGCGUGGAGGAUGAAGGACUUUGGUUUGUAAACUCCUUUUCUUAAGGAAGAAAGACUGAGCUAAGUACGUUCCAUAUUAUUGACGUACCCUAUUGUGCUUGACGUUACUUGAGGAAUAAGCAUCGGCUAACUCCGUGCCAGCAGCCGCGGUAAUACGGGGGAUGCAAGCGUUAUCCGGAAUUAUUGGGCGUAAAGCGCCUGUAGGUUGUUUAGUAAGUCUAUUGUUAAAGGCUAGGGCUUAACCCUAGAUAGGCAGUAGAAACUACUAUGACUAGAGAGUAGUAGGGGUAGAGGGAAUUUCUAGUGGAGCGGUGAAAUGCGUAGAUAUUAGAAGGAACACCGGUGGCGAAGGCGCUCUACUGGGCUAUUCUGACACUCAGAGGCGAAAGCUAGGGGAGCAAAAGGGAUUAGAGACCCCUGUAGUCCUAGCCGUAAACGAUGAAUACUAGCCAUUGUUAUGCGAAAAAGUGGCGAAGCUAACGCGUUAAGUAUUCCGCCUGGGGAGUACGCUCGCAAGGGUGAAACUCAAAGGAAUUGACGGGGGCCCGCACAAGCGGUGGAGCAUGUGGUUUAAUUCGAUGCAACGCGAAGAACCUUACCAGGACUUGACAGUACAGGUGGUGCAUGGCUGUCGUCAGCUCGUGUCGUGAGAUGUUGGGUUAAGUUCCGCAACGAGCGCAACCCUUAUUUUUAGUUGUUUAUAGUAUGAGUAAAGAAAACUAAAAAGACUGCCGUCGAUAAGUCGGAGGAAGGUGAGGAUGACGUCAAGUCAGUAUGCCCCUUAUGUCCUGGGCUACACACGUGCUACAAUAGUUAAGAACAAUGGGCUGCAAACUCGCGAGAGGGAGCUAAUCCCUAAACUUAACCUCAGUUCAGAUUGUAGGCUGCAACUCGCCUGCAUGAAGAUGGAAUCGCUAGUAAUCGCUGGUCAGCUACACAGCGGUGAAUUGUUUCCGGGCCUUGUACACACCCGCCCGUC